rnacentral:ncRNA from 2 species
AUAAAGCACAACAACAUAUUUCGUAUAAUUCCGAGAAUAGGCUUGGAAGUCUCUACGAGGUCACCAUAAUGACCUGGCUACGAUUAUAAAAGAAACUCAC